rnacentral:rRNA from 1 species
AUGAACGCUGGCGGCGUGCUUAACACAUGCAAGUCGAACGAUUAAAGCUCACUUCGGUGAGUGUAUAGAGUGGCGAACGGGUGAGUAACACGUGGGAAACCUGCCCCUUUCUUCGGGACAACUUCGGGAAACCGUUGCUAAUACCGGAUACUCCGGGAUGGUCGCAUGGCCGACCCGGGAAAGCUUUAUGUGGAAAGGGAUGGUCCCGCGGCCCAUUAGCUUGUUGGUGGGGUAAUGGCCUACCAAGGCGAUGAUGGGUAGCCG